rnacentral:pre_miRNA from 1 species
UGUUAAUAUUUUCAUAUAUUUGUACUGUUAAAAACUGACGUAGUUGACGGAAUAUUCAGAUAGUGACACGUGGCAUGUCAUAUGUACCUCAUGCUGAUGUAAGGACUAGUCUUUAACAGUUAAAUUGGAUGAAUUUUUUAAUA